rnacentral:rRNA from 1 species
CCUGAGAAACGGCUACCACAUCCAAGGAAGGCAGCAGGCACGCAAAUUACCCACUCCCGGCACGGGGAGGUAGUGACGAAAAAUAACGAUACGGGACUCAUCCGAGGCCCCGUAAUCGGAAUGAGUACACUUUAAAUCCUUUAACGAGGACCAAUUGGAGGGCAAGUCUGGUGCCAGCAGCCGCGGUAAUUCCAGCUCCAAUAGCGUAUAUUAAAGUUGUUGCGGUUANNAAAACCGUAUUGGAUCUGUGUCUUACGAUGUCGGUUCACCGCUCGCGGUGUUAACUGGCAUGUCCUGUGGGACGUCCUGCCGGUGGUGGUCCGGGCUCCCGGUUAUGUGUAGGGUUCGCCCGAAGCAUUCCGAGGGUCUGGCCGCCGAUUCAAUCCCGCCGCGGUGCUCUUGACUGAGUGUCGAGGUGGGCCGGCACGUUUACUUUGAACAAAUUAGAGUGCUUAAAGCAGGCUGAUUUCUGCCUGAAUACUGUGUGCAUGGAAUAAUGGAAUAGGACUUCGGUUCUAUUUUGUUGGUUUUAAGAAUCCGAAGUAAUGAUUAAUAGGGACAGGCGGGGGCAUUCGUAUUGCGACGUUAGACUUGGCAAAUGCUUUCGCGGUGAAAUUCUUGGACCGUCGCAAGACGUACCUAAGCGAAAGCAUUUGCCAAGUAUGUCCUCGUUAAUCAAGAACGAAAGUUAGAGGUUCGAAGGCGAUCAGAUACCGCCCUAGUUCUAACCAUAAACGAUGCCAGCCAGCGAUCCGCCGAAGUUCCUCCGAUGACUCGGCGGGCAGCUUCCGGGAAACCAAAGCUUUUGGGUUCCGGGGGAAGUAUGGUUGCAAAGCUGAAACUUAAAGGAAUUGACGGAAGGGCACCACCAGGAGUGGAGCCUGCGGCUUAAUUUGACUCAACACGGGAAACCUCACCAGGCCCGGACACCGGAAGGAUUGACAGAUUGAUAGCUCUUUCUUGAUUCGGUGGGUGGUGGUGCAUGGCCGUUCUUAGUUGGUGGAGCGAUUUGUCUGGUUAAUUCCGAUAACGAACGAGACUC